rnacentral:lncRNA from 1 species
AGCUGAGGUAGGCGAGCCUGCUGAAUCCUCUGCAGACCUGGCCGCAGGCUUCAAAGAAGUACAGCCCUCUUGCAGUUCAGAACCACAAGGCUUCAAGGCUUGCUCAACAAGCGAUACAAACACAGAUGUUGGUGAAGAUGCAGCCACUGCACUAGCAGAAGUGCCUACAACUGGUGCAGUUGAAGUAGGCGAGCGUGCUAAAUCUUUGCCUGAGCGGACCUCCGAUGCUUCAACCAUAGAAGCUGCGGUGCCUGACACGCCUACCACGAAGGUCACGUCAAAGGGGUCGCAUCCGCCAAGUGCCGAUGCAUCAAUGAACACUAUUCCAUGCGUUCAAGACAGAGAGGUUCAGACAGAGGUCAAAAAGGAGUACAUUGAUUCUGUGGAAGCUGACAAGGAGCUGCGGCUUGAAUUAUCAAGGCUAAAGGAACGAUUCGACAGCCUCAAAUUGACACAGUCAUCACUACAAAAAGAUGAGAAACGUGUGAACUUUUACACAGGGCUCCCAAGUUAUGCCAUGUUGUUAGCAAUGUUCAACAUUCUGGAAGGUAGCGUGUCACAUUGAGGAAGAAAUGUCCUGACCAAGUUUCACGAAUUCCUUGUGACUCUAAUAAGGUUAAGACUUGGAGUACCUCUACAGGACCUGGCCUAUAGGUUUUGUGUCAGUGAAGCCACAGUGACAAGGAUCUUAGAACGCUGGCUUGAUGCCAUGCAUGUUCGCCUGCACAGGCUUGUGGAGUGAACAGAACGUGAGGAGCUGCAACUAACCAUGCCUGUGUGUUUUCGUAAAGCAUUUG